rnacentral:lncRNA from 10 species
AGUAAAGCACAGAAUCAAGAUGACCCUUUAUCCAAACCUAUUUCCUCCUUAAUCAGUAACUUGCUUUAGUUUUUGUAUGCUUAUUGUUAAGACAGGAACUAUGUCCCAAGAAUGGCUGGCUUAGAAUCUGCAGGUGGAAUGAGUGAAUAUGAUGUAGGGAAAAGGAAUUUUCCAUCCUAUUGAUCUAGUUUUUUUUUUUUUUUUUUUGAGACGGAGUCUUGCUCUCUCCCCCAGGCUGGAGUGCAGUGGUGCAAUCUCCGCUCACUGCAAGCUCCGCCUCCUGGGUUCAUGCCAUUCUCCUGCCUCACCCUCCCAUGUAGCUGGGACUACAGGUGUCCACCACCACGCCCAGCCAUAGAUGCAUAUCUUUAAAAAGCAACCUUUGCUUUUCAAUAUUAUGUGCUGAAUCACAAGGCAGUGAGAAUAGUGACAUUCUGAUAUACAUAGGUCAGUCCAGUGUGGAAACAUUAAAAUUUUGGGCACAGAUAAUACCAAUCAACACAACGGGAAUUGCUAUGUGCAUUUUGAAUUGUUCUUAGAGGAAAAAGAACCAGCUUUGGUAAUGAGAAUGGCAAUUCUCUUUUUGACAGCUUCUACUACUGGCAAAUAUCAAUGCCAAUUAUUUGAAGUACUCCCCAAGUUAAUAUACAAGCAGGACUCAUGAGGACUCAAUCAUAAAAGUCGGUUUUCUUCUCUUUCCCACAAUAUUGUUAAACCUGCUUAGUGGGGAUAUUCCUUCCCUUCCCAUAGGAUAAAAACUUGAAGAGCCUCAUAAUUUCCUGGUUAUUCUUAGGAAAUAAGAGAAAGAUAAAACUGCAAUCUCAAUUCAGUAAUUCAUUGUGUCUAGUAAUAGUCCCUUAUAAUAGUCAAAACUUCAAAGAUUCUUAAAAUCUAAAUUUUCUCCACUCCCCCAGCUGGUCCUGCUGUAGGUGACACACUGCAUAAAGAAAGUAUGCUCCUUC